UCUGCCCCCACCCCCCUGGAGGGAGGUCACAGAAACAGGGCUGUAGGAGGGGCCCCACUGGCUCCAGGUAUGUCGGGGCAGUGGUGAGCACCCCGUGGCUGGAGGCAUCCAAGGCUCCUAAAUCGGGAGGGACCUCGGGGUGUCUUGGGGGGAAACACAUCCUGCCAUGGAGGUUUGAUGCGGGAGGCACGCCUGUGAGUCUAAGGGGUAGGUCCCUUGGUGGGGGGCAGGGCAGUCUCAGGGCCCCAACCCAGAACAGACAGUCCAGGUCGUCUCCUUAGCAUCCAGGGUGCAGUGCAGUGGGGGUCCCCACUACUGGGUAAUGGGGGAGUGGAGCCACAGCCUCUGUGUUUAGGGAGUGGGGUCAGAUCCGGGCUGGCCAGGUGGGUGCAGGUGCGGCAGGACAGAAGCCCCCCGCCCGGCCGCGAGAUGGCUUAGAGCCUAAUGAUCUCAUGGCGGCCAAUGCGACGUUUGAGUCCUGGCCCCUCCCCUCUUCCCACCAGGGCCUCAGUUUCCCCAUCUGUAAAAAUGGGACACAAACAGUCCCUGCCCAAAACUCAGUGGCCAGCAGGUACCCCAGAUGUGCUGAGUGCAGGGCCGCUGUUUACUGUGCACACUUAUUGGGCACCAACGGUAUACCAGGCUCUGUGCCCCCAAAGUCUCCUGGCCUAGAGAGGGCAGGUCUGGGCUGGUGUCCAGGUGGGGAAACUGAGGUCCAGACACAAGACAGACUCAGGCGACCAAGGGUAGCCGGGGUGUCCCAGCGGCCAUUCCCAGGCCCCACCCCAGCUUAGAGUGACCACGGGGCAGAGAGAGUGCGGCAAGGGCUUCCGUCUCGCCUCCAAGUCCUCGUCGGCCGGAGAGGGUCCUAGGAGCGUCUGCCGCCAGGUAGGAGCCGCCCCAACCCCCUGGACACUCCUCUAGGGCAGGGAGCUAGCUCCGAUCCCCACUGUUCAGACGGGGGAGGAGGCCUCGGGGCCCACAGAGGCCGGAAGGGGUGGGGCAGAGGGCUCUGUCCCCGCACUUGGGGCCGUCACAGGGGCCCGCUGUGUCCCAGCCUCCGCCCACCCCUCCCCUGGCUUCUAUAAACACGGGCCCCGGCCCGCCACUGCCAGCCGCCCGCCCGGAAGGGAAGGAGGAGGAGGGUUGUGGGCCCCCCGGCCCACACUGCCCAGCGGCCUCCGAGUUAACCCCUCCCGUGCUGGGAACAGAGGAUCCAGACCCGGGACCUGGGCGGGGGCCCCUCCUGUGUUAUCCUCCAAGGCCAGGCUUGACCAGGGCCCACUGCCCCCUGUGAGGCUGGACAGAUCCUCCCCAUGACCCUUUAUCAUCCUGUUCGCACCUGCUCAGCCCUGACCACUCUGCUGUGGGGCUCCGACCUCCUGGGUCCAAAGCCAACCCGUUUUGCUGUUACCCGUGCCUGGUACAGUGCCUGGUGUCCUGGGGGUACUUAGAAAGCACGGUGAGGGCUGGGCAUGGUGGCUCACACCUGUAAUCCCUGCACUUUGGGAGGCCGAGGCAGGUGGAUCACUUGAGGUCAGGAGUUCGAGACCAGCCUGGCCAACAUGGUGAAACCCCGUCUCUACUAAAAGUACAAAAAUUGGCCAGGCGUGGUGGCAGGCGCCUGUAAUCCCAGCUACUUGAGAGGCUGAGGCAGGAGAAUUGCUUGAAUCCAGGAGGCAGAGGUUGCAGUGAGCCGAGAUCACACCACUGCACUCCAGCCUGGGUGACAGAGCGAGCCCCUGUCUCAAACAAACAAAAAGCAAGCAUGGAGCUUCCUGCUCUGUAAUGGGGGCCCUUGGAGCUGAGAAUCCGUCAGGUGAACCUGCCCAUCACCCCCAACUUCACGAUCUUCCUCUCCUUCACUCCAGACAGAGAGAAAUAAUUUUUUUUUUCCCUGUGUCACAAAGUAAAAACCUCUAACUAAA